rnacentral:rRNA from 1 species
UACGUAGGGGGCAAGCGUUGUCCGGAAUCAUUGGGCGUAAAGCGCGUGUAGGCGGCUCGAUAAGUCCGCUGUGAAAGCCCGGGGCUCAACCCCGGGAUGCCGGUGGAUACUGUCGAGCUAGAGUCCGGAAGAGGCGAGUGGAAUUCCUGGUGUAGCGGUGAAAUGCGCAGAUAUCAAGAGGAACACCUGCGGCGAAGGCGGGUUGCUGGGCCGACACUGACGCUGAAGUGCGAAAGCCAGGGGAGCGAACGGG